ensembl:miRNA aca-mir-5395 aca-mir-5395
GGGAAAUGAAUUCACCCCAAUUGGACUAGUUGCCUCUGUAUGCCUCUGUAUCUAUAUCAAAAGACAACUAGUCCAAUUGGCAGGAUUAUUUCCC